GAGUUUGAUCAUGGCUCAGAUUGAACGCUGGCGGCAGGCCUAACACAUGCAAGUCGAGCGGUAACAGGACUAGCUUGCUAGUUGCUGACGAGCGGCGGACGGGUGCGUAACACGUAGGAAUCUGCCCGGUAGUGGGGGAUAGCCCGGAGAAAUCCGGAUUAAUACCGCAUACGCCCUAAGGGGGAAAGAUGGCCUCUUCUCGAAAGCUAUCACUAUCGGAUGAGCCUGCGUCGGAUUAGCUAGUUGGUGAGGUAAAGGCUCACCAAGGCGACGAUCCGUAGCUGGUCUGAGAGGAUGAUCAGCCACACUGGGACUGAGACACGGCCCAGACUCCUACGGGAGGCAGCAGUGGGGAAUAUUGCACAAUGGGCGCAAGCCUGAUGCAGCCAUGCCGCGUGUGUGAAGAAGGCUCUAGGGUUGUAAAGCACUUUCAGCGAGGAGGAAAGGUUAAAGAUUAAUAC
rnacentral:rRNA from 1 species